GGGGAAGUGCUGUGUGUGUGUAUAUAUAUAUUAUGUAUAUCUGCCUUAUUUAGUCUGUAGGAGUGAAGCCAACUACACUUCACCAACUUUCUGUUCAACUGCUCGUAGCACAAAUUUUAUCGUUAUCCUCGAAGAAGACAUCCCGGGAGCACAAGCAAUGAUCAGAAGCUACCUUAAAAAUUCCAUUGUAAUUAAUCAAGUAAAAAGCAUGUAAUAUAAGGUUGUCAUAAUGAUUGGUUCC
rnacentral:lncRNA from 1 species